rnacentral:rRNA from 1 species
CAGUCGCCACGGGAAUACAGAGGGUGCAAGCGUUAAUCGGAUUUACUGGGCGUAAAGCGUGCGUAGGUGGCUGUUUAAGUCGGAUGUGAAAGCCCUGGGCUUAACCUGGGAACUGCAUUCGAUACUGGAUAGCUAGAGAUCGGUGGAGGGCAGCGGAAUUCCGGGUGUAGCGGUGAAAUGCGUAGAUAUCCGGAGGAACACCGAUGGCGAAGGCAACUGCCUGGGCCUGAUCUGACACUGAGGCACGAAAGCGUGGGUAGCAAACAGGAUUAGAUACCCCAGUAGUCCCUGUCUCUUAUAC